rnacentral:rRNA from 1 species
CCCUUAGAUGUCCUGGGCUGCACGCGCGCUACACUGAUGUGUCCAGUAAGCACCUAACCUCUUCCGAAAGGAACGGGUAACCUUUGCAAAGCACAUCGUGAUGGGGAUAGAUUAUUGCAAUUAUUAGUCUUGAACGAGGAAUCCCUAGUAAGCACAAGUCAUCAGCUUGUGUUGAUUACGUCCCUGCCCUUUGUACACACCGCCCGUCGCUCCUACCGAUUGAAUGUUCCGGUGAGCUCUUCGGACUGCGCGGUCUGCAGUUUCUGCGUUCCGUGCGGAAAGUUGCGCAAACCUUAACAUUUAGAGGAAGGAGAAGUCGUAACA